rnacentral:rRNA from 1 species
CACCGAGUUGGUUCCUAGCGGCGAACGGGUGAGUAACACGUGGGCAACCUACCCCCGACACCGGGAUAAGCCUGGGAAACUGGGUCUAAUACCGGAUACGAGCUCCCACCGCAUGGCGGGAGCUGGAAAGGGUCUCCGGUCGGGGAUGGGCCCGCGGCCUAUCAGCUUGUUGGCGGGGUCACGGCCCACCAAGGCGACGACGGGUAGCCGGCCUGAGAGGGUGGACGGCCACACUGGGACUGAGACACGGCCCAGACUCCUACGGGAGGCAGCAGUGGGGAAUCUUGCGCAAUGGCCUAACGGCUGACGCAGCGACGCCGCGUGAGGGAUGACGCUCUUCGGAGUGUAAACCUCUUUUGCCUGAGACGAAUUGCCAGCUUUAGCUGGUUUGACUGUAUCGGGUGAAUAAGCACCGGCUAACUCCGUGCCAGCAGCCGCGGUAAUACGGGGGGUGCGAGCGUUGUCCGGAAUCACUGGGCGUAAAGGGCGCGUAGGUGGUCUGAUAAGGGUGUGGUGAAAGCCCGGGGCUCAACCCCGGGUCGGCCGUGCCGACUGUUAGACUAGAGUACUG